CAAAUUGGAUGGGCAUAGUUUUUGGGUUUCGUCAAGUUGCAGUCAAAAGUGGAUCCUUUUACUUUGGUUGCUCGUUGUGGCUCCUCAGAAUGAAAGAAAUAAUCAAGGUAACCACCAUACAUAUCUUGCACAUUCUUGACACCUGCAUGCAGGUUCAGAGGUGAAAAUUCAAGCUCUACAAAGUGUUGCAUUGAACCACAACCAAUUUGGAGAAAUCGGGCUGCUAUGUGCACUUAUCUCAAUAGCAGUGUGUUUGUUCUCUCCCCAGCAUUAUCUCCCUCUCUGCAUCCCACAAUAUAGGAUAGAUGAUUUGCUAAGUUUUUAGUUACUCAGAAUUCAGAACUCAGGUUUUAAAGUCUGACACCAUUCUUCACUUCCUAGAUUGUCCAAGUUCUAGAGUUCAUUGGAAAGGAAGAAAACCCGCAUCUUCUCACACCUUUAAUUUUGCAGUUAUGUUAAUCUUUACCUCCUGUCAACACUGACUAUUGUCAUAUUCUUUUUUUUCCUUUGGUUUUCAGAUACCCAUUUACAUCACAUCAAGUGGUGCCUCCUCUUGAUUGGGAGCAAUAUGUGUCUAGAAUAGCAAAAUAUACUCACAUAACAAGACCGUAAAAGGUUCUCCUCCUCUUUGUCUCAUGCUGCAUCUCAUGCACAACAUUUGGCAUCAGGUAACUAGCAGUCACGGUGAUUUUUGAAGCACUCAAACUGAUUCCAGUGACCACGACGCGUUAGAGAGCACGAUGGGCAAGGUCGAGGAGUGGCAUCAGGGGAUUAGGAGCCUCGGUGAUUUUUGAAGCACUUAUAAUGAUUCCGGUGAUUAGACAUGAAAACUGAGAGUGCCUUAACAGCAACGAUGGCUGCGGAGGAGUGCAAAAGCAUGGGCCAUCAAGCUUAAGCACACGGUCGGACGGUGACCUAUGCACGGACAAGCAUCCCGCGGUGACUAGCCUGUACAAAACAGGAAAGAGGGAAGGGAAUGAGGAAGAAGAUGGGACAAUUUGAUCUAGAAAUUGUGAUAAAUGCAUUCAAGUGGUAUAUUUUGGAACAUAAAUGACAUAUUUUCCCAUUGCAACACAAAUGUUGGCCACUUUCAUAAAAUUGUACACAUAUUCCACAUAUUUUUGAGAAUACAGAGGGAUUUAUGCUCAAAGCAGAAUAGCAAUGCCCUGUUUUGCU